rnacentral:rRNA from 1 species
GUCUACGGCCAUACCACCCUGAACGCGCCCGAUCUCGACUGAUCUCGGAAGCUAAGCAGGGUCGGGCCUGGUUAGUACUUGGAUGGAAGAACCUCUGCCUUGAAUCAUGGAGGGGGCAGGACUGCUGUGAAGA